UGGCUCAGGACGAACGCUGGCGGCGUGCCUAAUACAUGCAAGUCGAACGGUCUUUCUAUGGAAGCUUGCUUCCACUGAGAAGAUAGUGGCGAACGGGUGAGUAACACGUGGGUAACCUGCCCAUAAGAGGGGGGAUAACAUCCGGAAACGGGUGCUAAUACCGCAUAGUUUUCUUGAUCGCAUGAUUGAGAAAGGAAAGACGGCCUUUGUGCUGUCGCUUAUGGAUGGACCCGCGGCGUAUUAGUUAGUUGGUGAGGUAACGGCUCACCAAGACGAUGAUACGUAGCCGACCUGAGAGGGUGAUCGGCCACAUUGGGACUGAGACACGGCCCAAACUCCUACGGGAGGCAGCAGUAGGGAAUCUUCCGCAAUGGACGAAAGUCUGACGGAGCAACGCCGCGUGAGUGAAGAAAGGUUUUCGGAUCGUAAAACUCUGUUGUCAGAGAAGAACAAGUUGGAGAGUAACUGCUCCAGCCUUGACGGUAUCUGACCAGAAAGCCACGGCUAACUACGUGCCAGCCGCCGC
rnacentral:rRNA from 1 species